UACAGAGGCCUCGAGCGUUAGGCGGAAUCACUGGGCUUAAGGCGUGUGUAGGCGGACCCCUAAGUACCUUGUGAAAUCCCACGGCUCACCCGUGGAACGGCUGGGUAUACUGGGGGUCUUGAGCCACCUAGGGGCGAGUGGAACAAAUGGUGGAGCGGUGAAAUGCGUAGAUAUCAUUUGGAACGCCAAUGGUGAAAACAACUCGCUGGGGGUGUGCUGACGCUGGAGACACGGAAAGCCAGGGGAGCGAACGGG
rnacentral:rRNA from 1 species